UGUAGGUAUAUUGGCAUAAUUGUUGUAGAAUUCUCUCUCCUGUAAAGCCCACCUGGUUGCUCAUGUCUCACUUUCAAGGGCAAAGGCUGGACUGCAUCACAAUGCAUUGGCUGACAGCAGAUGAUGACUGCUGCUUUCAUCAUCAGAAUUCACGAAGAAGUAUUUGCAUCAAAAUGUGGCCAUGUGCUAUGCUCCUGUUCAAUGUUCCCUCGAGCUAACAAUUCUCUUCUACAGGCCAUUCCAUUCCAGUUAUCAUCUACCAUAACUUUUCACUUCUUAAAGGACAUUCAGAAUAUUGGACCAACACAGUAAACAGCAGACUCACUGCCAGGAAUCCAAUUACUCAUUUUUCAAAGGACACGAGGGCAUUCAGAGUCAUCUCUGUAGUGUCCCCCACAUCACUGAAUCAAGAGAUAGUAGAAGUAUUCACCCAGGUCAACCUUCUGUCAUCAGCAAUUUUGAAUAGCACUGCAUAUAUUUGUGUGCUUGGCAAAACCUGGCCCAAGUUCAGAGCCUUAAAAGAAAGGAAGGUCAGUAGAGGCGUCCCAUUGCAGUGAAAUGACACUAGGACAUGCUAUAGAGCGAGAGUAAGACUAUCCUAAAGACAGCACUGAGAUUUGAAAGAAUAAAGAGGGCAAUGAUUUAAUCAAGAUGUACCACCACAUAGCACACACUGAAGAUGAUGUACUGAACCUGCGGUGCUCUUAGCUUGAAGUAUAUGUAUAUAGAACCUCGUGGGAUUUUCAACAAAAAAAGUAGGUUUUGUUAAUUUCUUAUGCAAUGCAUUAAAUUAUAAAUUAACAUGUGGAGGAGGAGACUUUUUUUUGACAGAAUAUAAAAUGUGAGUAUUUAUAAUUCCCUUCCUUCUUAUCUUACACCCACCCAUUCACCGUUUAUCAUGCCUUUUAGAUAUCUUUGUUAAUUAAGUACGUUAUUAAAAUGAAAAUCAUAUUUUCCUUUAGAUUAUGGCGUCUGUGUGUUUGCACCACAAUCAUUUAUAAGUUUCUGCAGUGUUGCUUACAGGUGCCAUAGGCAAAGCAUAUGUCUCAAUUAAAAGAAGUGGCUUUUCUCUUUCUUUUAAUGGACAGCUCGUGGCUCUGUCUGAAUCUUCAGAUAAAACAGCACAAGUAAAACUGGAUUCCAGCUCUUCAUUUUGAUAUAUCAGAUCACAUUGGCAUUCAUGUUAUAAUAUUAAGGUCAGAAAUAAUACAUAAUUCUUAAUUCUUUAAGUGGGAAAAUAUGCACCCACAUGUACACAGAGGCAUGCCAUCCUUUUACGUAUAAUAAUUCCACUUCCAUCCUUGUUCUAAUAUUUAAAUGUGGAACUAUUCCAUUUCAAGUACAAAAACCAGAUCUACUAUGUUUUUAUGUCCAAAAACCAUGCCAUAUGGAAAAGACUCAAUUUUGAAAGUUGAUGGUGCAGCAGGUGUGACUUAAAAUUAGCAUAGUAUAAGAAGAAUGACCAGAUUGAUUCUCACAAGUGCAAUAAAAUUGCAGAGACCUUUUAUGUGGAUUUGUAUAGGUUGAACAGAUAAUGCCCCACUACCACCUUCAUGUCAAGGUGCACAAAACUAAAUGUCAGGUUA